CGCGCGCCCGGGAGCAGCACCUGGCCGGCCCCGGCCGCGGGAGGAGGCCCCCAGCCCCUGCGCGCCACCCCGGGAAAGGGCGCCGCGCCUGGACCCGGCGCUCGCGAUGAAAGCCCGGCUCCCGCGCAGAGAAAUGGCUCUCUUCAUCCCCAAGUCCAAACCUCGGGGUAACCGUAGAGAUGGGCAACAGUGCCCCAGCCCCUCAGGAACCCAGUGCAAAGAAAGACAUGAAGCUCAACUGCCACCUCUGCCAAGAAAGAAAGCCUCUCGCUGACGCUCCCAGGAUUGGAGAGUGUUCUUAGGAGAACCAGCCCUUGCCAGGAGACAAGAAUGAUUUAUUUUGAAGACAACAUCUUCACACGUGUGUCCCUGCAUAUCCGGGACCCUGGCUGUGUGUCAGUUUCUUGCUCAGGGAAGCUGUCAUUGGGAUUCUGUGGGGGGAAAUGUUCCAAAUGAAUCAAUUAAUGCUGCCAGCAACAAGUUCAAUACCACUGCACUGAGUGCCCCUGCUUUACAUCAGUGCAUGAAUGAAUUAUUGGUGCUCAUAUAAUUUUCAGAUCAUCGUUAUAAUGCAGUAGAAAAUUUCUUCUGCCCAGGUAGCCUAGGUAGUAUCUAAGCAGAGAGCUGAAAUAACCUCCCCCCCUUAUACUCCCUAAAAUAAUUACUUACACAUAUAUGUGAGGUUUUACUUCCAGAUCUUUUAAUAUAAGACUCUCUAUGUGGACUCAAGGUCACCUCUUACACUCAUUAAACCAAUCUGAACAAAGUGUGAUAAUUCUUAAGGGAAAUCAACGCUGGAAAUGCUUUUGACUUUUUGGAGACAUGGGCAGAAUUCAUCAUCAGGUUAGACUCAGCAUGCAACAGUACUGAAAGCUCCACAUAGGGCAUCUCCCUGUCUGCUCUUGUUAUUCCUUUCUGCCACAUCUGGGGCAGUGUAUGUGUGUGUGUGUGUGUGUGUGUGUGGUGAUGGGGGGGGGCAGUAAGGAAUAGCUUUUAUAUAGGAGGAGGAAAGAGGAAGAGCAUCACAGGAAAAAAAAAAAUGUCUCUUCUGACCAUAUCUAAUUUGAUUCAAUUUUCUCCUUACCCCUGGCCUCUGGUGGGAUUUAAACAAACUCAAAAACACCACCCUCUUUGUUCUAAAUGAUUUGAAUAAGGUCAUCCAAUGGCAGGGGUGAGAAAUGAGAAAAAAAUGUACCUUAAUUUUGUAAUUUUUAUUUAUUUUAAUGUGUUAGGUGCCUGGAUAGAUCUUCAAGUAUAAAGCACCACUUCUAUCCUAUCCCCAUUUUUAAAACUACUUUCAAAUUCACUCUAAUCAAAUGCAUAAAGCAUUAUUUUUUAAAGAAUUGUGUCACGAAGAGCUUUGUGAUCAAUGUUGUAAUAGAGUAUAAUAAAACAGCUCAGGUAAGGACUUUUGGAUCAGCCUUCCUUCUAUGCAACUGUCUUAGGUGACUGAUUGAUGCUUGAGCUUCAAACUAAGGGCAUCAGAAUAAUAAUGGCCGCAUAGUGUGAUAAUGAUAAUUAGCACACAAAAGCACAGUUAAUUGCCCUGAAGGUUGUGACAUAGACUGACAAAGUAAACUAGAAGCCUCACACCCCAGCCAAGACUCCUUUAUAAACAUGGCUGUGAGACUCCCACUGAAUUUAAGCAUAAUGAAGUGGAAUUAGGAAUCAAUCACCUGUGCUACCCUCCACACUUUUUCCAGAUCUUAUUAAAUUCUUUACAUAAAAUGCAAAA